rnacentral:sRNA from 1 species
CCGUCUCAGGUCCAUCGAAUAGGGGGCGA